AUACGGAGGGUGCAAGCGUUGUUCGGAAUCACUGGGCGUAAAGGGCGCGCAGGCGGUUUGGUAAGUCAGAUGCGAAAGCCCAUGGCUCAACCAUGGAAGUGCAUUUGAAACUGUCAGACUUGAGUAAUAGAGGGGAAAGUGGAAUUCCCGGUGUAGAGGUGAAAUUCGUAGAUAUCGGGAGGAAUACCGGUGGCGAAGGCGACUUUCUGGCUAGAUACUGACGCUGAGGCGCGAAAGCGUGGGGAGCAAACAGGAUUAGAAACCCUAGUAGUCC
rnacentral:rRNA from 1 species